UACGUAGGGGGCAAGCGUUGUCCGGAUUUAUUGGGCGUAAAGAGCGUGUAGGCGGUUUGGUAGGUCCGCUGUGAAAACUCGAGGCUCAACCUCGAGACGCCGGUGGAAACCAUCAGGCUAGAGUCCGGAAGAGGAGAGUGGAAUUCCUGGUGUAGCGGUGAAAUGCGCAGAUAUCAGGAAGAACACCCGUGGCUAAGGCGGCUCUCUAGUACGGUACUGACGCUGAGGCACGAAAGCGUGGGGAUCAAACAGG
rnacentral:rRNA from 1 species